CAAAGUUUUAGAAUUUUUAGAGCUUAUUUGGGAAGCUUUUGCAAAAAUGGUCAAUUAUAGGGACUAAAUUGAAAUUUUACAUGUUGUGAUGGAUGAUUGAAUUGGUGGGCCCAGGAGGGGCUGUGUGAUGUGAUUGAGUUGUUGACAUAUGGAUUGUGAAUAUAGAAGUGUGUUUUGAGCCCUUUUGCAGGUUGGGUAGGUCCUAGGUAUAGGGGAGACUCUGCCGGAUUUUCGGCACGACUUAGGACGUAUUUGUCUUUUUCUUUGUUUGUAUUGAGUCAAAUUUAUUAAAUGAUUGUAAUAAAAUUGUCAGGUGAGCCGGGACAGCCUUCUUCCUCCGCCCAGCCGCCACAGUGAUUGUCGUCAAGUUUGCCACAGGAGGAUAUUUUAUUCUGGGUUAACCUGCUUUUCUACUUCGCAGGUUGUUUAUCAAUAUUUGUGUAAUUUUAUUUACUCCUAGAAUUUCCGCAUGUGUUAGCAGUAAUUAUUUGAAUUUGGUCUGUAAUAUUAUUAUCAUGUUGGACCUGUAAACUUAAUAUUCUAUGUCUGUUUGAUGGAUUGGAUGAGGGAGCUGAGCUCCUAUUUCUUUUA